ensembl:lincRNA Gm6602 predicted gene 6602
AUGCUCAAGAAGAACUUGCAUUGAACAUGAAAGGGAAAUAGCUAUUUGGGAGAUGAACAUUUCAGAUUUUUCUCAGAGUUCAUUUUGUUAACCAUAGAAAAAUCUGUUUCUGGGUUAAUCAAAGAGACAGCAACAAGGAAGGAAGCCAGGAUAUAACACAAACAGAAAGGAUCCAUGACCUCCAGCUGAAAAGAGCUGAAAAUAUUUCAUCUUUCUGUGAGAGGUGGUUGCAAGAUUUAACCACACACAGUAAUGAGCUAUUCAAAGUUUAGACAGAUAAAUUACAUUAUUUGAAAAUUUUUCCUACAAAGAUGAGUUUGACUAUGAAGGAAAUAUUUGAAGAAGAAGAAACAGAGUUAACAAACAAAGGAUGCUAGAGUAGAGGCUGCCAGCAGAAGGUGUGAAUCAGAUUUAAGAUGGAUCUUCCCACCUCUAGUGAAAGACAGAUCUGGAUUAAUACUGUAUUUACACACCACGAAUAUAUGGAUUUGAAAGAAAUAUCUGAGCACCUUCCCUGUAAGAGGAUACUCCAACAUGUAAUAAGGACACAUGCUCCACUUUGUUCAUAGCAUCCUUAUUUAUAAUAGCCAGAACCUGGAAAGAAACCAGUUGUCUCUCAACUGAGGAAUGCCUACAAAAAAUGUAGAACAUUUAUGUAAUGGAGUAAUAUGCAGCUAUUAAAAACAAAGAAUUCAUGAAAUUCUUAGGUAAAUGGAUGGAUCUACAGGUUAUCAUACUGAGUGAGUUAACCAAUCAACAAACCCGUAUGAUAUGCACUCACUGACAAGUGCAUAUUAGCCCAGAAACUCAAAUACCCAAGAUACAAUUCACAAACCACAUGAAACUCAAGAAGAAAGAAGAACAAAGUGUGGAUACUUCUAUCCAUCCUGGAAGGGAUAACAAAAUAUCAAUGGAAGGAAUUACAGAAACAUAGUGUGGAGCAGAGACUGAAGGAAUGACCAUCCAGAGACUGCCCCACCUGGGGAUCCAUCCAAUAUACAAUCACCAAACCCAGUCUCUAUUGUGGAUGCCAACAAGUGCUCUCUGACAGGAGCUAGAUAUAGCUGUCUCCUGAGAGGCUCUGCCAGUGCCUGACAAAUACAGAAGUAGAUACUCACAGCCAUCCAUUGGACUGAGCGUAUGGUCCCCAAUGAAUGAGCUAGUGAGAGUACCCAAAGAGCUGAAAGUGUUUGCAUCCCCAUAAGAGGAACAACAUUUUUAACUAACCAGAGUGAUUAUGGUGACUUGAUAAAGCAUAUUUGAAAGAUAUGGGCACCUUGGCAACAGUAUGAAAAAUAGACAAAAAUCAGAGAGGCUAUGAGAGUGCCUAGGAGUACACACAACCAUUGACUUUCAUUCACAGAUACCCCAUCUGUGGAGAGGAUGAUGAGGUGUCUAACUUAGAAAAAAGGCCAGAAACUGGAAAGAAGUUCCAAAACAUAAUUAUUGCAUGCAGAGUUAUGGAUCCAUUUGAUACCAUCAUAUAAAUAGAACAUUCUGUUGAAAUAAUUAACUACCUCCAGGAGGAACUAAAAUGAUAAUAUGCUCAAAUUGGAAUUAUUGUUAUUCAUAUUUUCUUGUUGAUUCAUGACUAAAUUAAAAGAAUUUC